rnacentral:rRNA from 1 species
UACGAAGGGGGCUAGCGUUGCUCGGAAUCACUGGGCGUAAAGCGCACGUAGGCGGAUUGUUAAGUCAGGGGUGAAAUCCUGGAGCUCAACUCCAGAACUGCCUUUGAUACUGAAGAUCUUGAGUUCGGGAGAGGUGAGUGGAACUGCGAGUGUAGAGGUGAAAUUCGUAGAUAUUCGCAAGAACACCAGUGGCGAAGGCGGCUCACUGGCCCGAUACUGACGCUGACGGC